GAUGAAGAACGCAGCGAAAUGCGAUAAGUAAUGUGAAUUGCAGAAUUCAGUGAAUCAUCGAAUCUUUGAACGCACCUUGCGCCCUUUGGACAUUCCGAAGGGCAUGCCUGUUUGAGUAUCAUGAACACCUCAACUCUCACGGCUUGUCCGUGAUGAGCUUGGACUUUGGGGGUCUUGCCGGCCUGUGGUCGGCUCCUCUCAAAUGGAUCAGCUUGCCAGUGUUUGGUGGCAUCACAGGUGUGAUAACUAUCUGCGCUUGUGGUUUUCCAUCAGAUAACCUUCAGUGAUAUGGAGGUUCGCUGGAGCUCACAAAUGUCUCUCCUUAGUGAGGACAGCUCUUUGAACGUUUGAUCUCAAAUCAGGUAGGACUACCCGCUGAACUUAAGCAUAUCAAUAAGCGGAGGA
rnacentral:misc_RNA from 1 species